UGGGGAAUAUUGGACAAUGGGGGCAACCCUGAUCCAGCCAUGCCGCGUGUGUGAAGAAGGCCUUUUGGUUGUAAAGCACUUUAAGCAGUGAAGAAGACCUAACGGUUAAUACCCGUUAGCGAUGACAUUAGCUGCAGAAUAAGCACCGGCUAACUCUGUGCCAGCAGCCGCGGUAAUACAGAGGGUGCAAGCGUUAAUCGGAAUUACUGGGCGUAAAGCGAGCGUAGGUGGCUUGAUAAGUCAGAUGUGAAAUCCCCGGGCUUAACCUGGGAACUGCAUCUGAUACUGUCAGGCUAGAGUAGGUGAGAGGGAGGUAGAAUUUCAGGUGUAGCGGUGAAAUGCGUAGAGACUACGUAGCAAGGAAUUGACCGAAUGGCGCAAGGCAGCUCCUGGCAUCAUACUGACACUGAGGUUCGAAAGCGUGGGUAGCAAACAGGAUUAGAUACCC
rnacentral:rRNA from 1 species